UCCCAAAACAACCAAAUGUUUUCCAAAUGUUGAAGUAAUGGGCUUUAUUGCACUGCUUCAUCCAAAGCCUCAUAAGGAGAAGUACUGAGCUGGGAAAAGUAGAGCACAGCUACCUGUUCACCAGUUCUGGAGGACUGAAAAAUGUUGGUUACAGGAAAGGAAGUUGAUACUGCUGCAAACAUUGCUCCUCACAAACACACGCGUCUCCUUGUUUUGUGCCCUGGAGUCCAGCGUGCUGAGAUGGCUCCUUAGAGGCAUCCUUAGAGGUGGCUGAGAUUGCAGUGGGGCCUUGGGCUUGCUCUGUCCUGCUGGCAGAGUUCUAUGGCUGGGUGGACACAUGACUCCUCUGAUGUGCUUUAGGUGGUCCAACUGGUUCAUGUGAAGGCUGUGAAGUAGUAAGGAUGGAAAGACAUUAAGGCUCCAAGUGACAAUGUAACCCACAAAAUAAGAAAAAGAUGAAUCGUGCUUUUUAUCAGACUCAUCCUUUGAGGUUGCUGUGUGUCCUUUGAGGUGAUGUUGCAGUCAAAGCCUUGUCAGCAAGUGCAUAUAGACGUGUAUCACUGUGUUAAUAUUGUCUGAUUCGAUGGGAAUGAAAGAUGUUGGAUUGAACCCCCCCUGAGAUGACAACCUAAUUCUUGGCAGAUCAGUUUCCCCACUGCCCUUCACCACUGCGUCUCAGAACUGAGCUGGAAGGACCAUCUUUUAGUAUUAGUGAGAAACUGUUAAUCUUCAUGACUCAGUCUCUGGCUUAACUGGUGAUAAUUCUAGUGAGAAUGGUGAUGAUUGGUAGAUCUGGUGAUGGGAAGACAACAUUGAUUUCAUAUUAAUGAAUAGGCUAUCUGACCAAGCGUGUCACAGAUAGCCUCUAUAUUUCUGCAGCUGCUUUGAAUUGUAGGGGAGAAGGACACUUUGAAAGUCUAGGGCCACUCAAUUCCUUGGAGAACCAACUUGGAAUGUUUGCCAUUGAACUGCUAGUUUCUGUUUUGGAAUGGAGGUUCACAUGUUAAUCUUCAGUUUGAGAGUGAAAAUCCCCCAGUUGAAGGUAAUGAUGGGGGAGUACGUUACAUGUCGAGUAACAGCUGCACUGAUAAAAAUGCGAGGGAAUAGAAAUGGUUGUACAGAAUGAAACCAUUCAGUUUGUUAUCUCAGUGUAGGUUAGGCAGCCAAGCCUGGCAAUGCCUGCCCAGUAUUGUGUUCUGCACAUUAGCCCAAAUCACCUAAUCAUAGGUGCUAAAUUGAAGUGGGAUAUGGUAAAUACUGACUGCAUGAGUAGUGCUGCAUGCCAUAAAUUUUAAACUUCUCUAACAUCCAGGGUAUAUCUCCUGAAACUGGAGUUCAGCCCCUGGUUCUACUGGUGCUGUGUAGUUGUCACUUAACUUCUCAUCUUCCUCCUUGCUCAGUAAUUACUGACAUUUCAUACAGAGCACCCAGCAUGUCUGUAGGGUGCUCAUGUUCCUGUGUAAUGAGUAGGACUUAAUGAGGGGAACAAAUCUUAGAAAAUCCCACGCAGAUCCACAUUCAUUGGUCAUGGUACUGGUGUCUGUGAUAGAUUGAUGCUCAGAAGAGAGACAGGGAUGCUUUGGACAGCAUAGAUGAGCCUCUUGUAUCUCUCAGGAGCCUCUUUCAAGUCUCCAAAGAAGAACAUAGUGUAAUUUGGCACUUAUUAUUUCAUUGCAUCAGCUUUUCUGAGCCUGGAAGUGCUCUUAGCACAAGCAAAUAAAUUACCCGUCUCAUUUUGCUCCGUGCUCUGCAGCCAGCCAUAUGUUUGAGCCUGAUAGAGAUUCUUAUCUCACAGGCUAAAAUUACUCAAUGGAGGAUGACAUUUCUUAUCAAGGGCUUUGCUGAAUCAGAGAGUGGCUCUGGCACCCAGCUCAGAGACACCGCUCCUUCUUGUCCCAGCCUGGCAAUAAAUGGAUUUGUGUCUGUAGGUCAGAGGAGCUUGCGUCAAGAUUCGGUUGCAGAUGGAUACUCUGAGAACUGUCUGUGCCUGGAAGGUUGCAAACAGCCAUCUCCUUCUACCAGAAGCUUUUCUCCAUACUUAAAGCUUGCAUACAUCUUUGUUUCUCCAUCCUUCUUCCUUCUAAUUAAUAGUUAUUUUCCUUCUUCUUUUUCUCUCUUGUGUUGCUUAGUAUCUGUUAGCUGCCAAUGAUUCAGGGUAUUCACCAGCUGUGUAGCAGGAAGAAACUUGUACUCUCCCUUUACCCAUCACCUUUAAAUGGGGGAAUUUCACUCUCAAAUUGAAGGUUAGCAUGUGAAUUUUCAUUCCAGAACAGAAACUUACACUUCCCUGUGGCUUCUUCUUUUACAGCAUCUUUCCUCCAGCUUUUCUAUGCCUGGUCCAAGGAAGUUUUACCCCUUGGAACCUUCCUGGGCAGUAAAUGAAACCACGCAUUACUGACAAGGACCAUUUAAAUGUUCUCUGUGGAUUUUUUCUCCCAAGUGGUCUCACACUAUGGAUAACUCAUGGGCUGAUUUGAAGACAUUUCUGUGUCCUGUCUCCCACCCUCCCACUUUGUGUCCUGCACUCAGUCACAGCAAGCAGCAUGGAAGUCCCAGCUCCUUUGUGCCAUCACCUGCUGACUGGCUUGCCUUCUACACAGAGUUCCUUUCUACUCUGUUUUUCUUGCUGUAUCAUGGUUUUCUAACUAUGGAAGCACUACAGAGGAGCUGCACCGUGCGCUGCUGACCCCAGGGUGGGGAGUAAGUAGGAGCUACGGUGUGCCUUUGUGAGUUGCAUUAUCGAGGAGAGAGGCUUUCUGACAUGCCAUAUAGUGUCAAAAACCAUUCAUUUCACCCUUCACAGCAAAAGUCCUUUUUUAUUUUAUUUUAUUUUAUUUUAUUUUUGUCUUCCAAAACAGGGUAUUUGUGGUUAAAGAUCCUUUGUAUGCACAUCAAGGUCAUACUAAAAAAAAAAGCCUUGAACUCAAUUGCACAGAUAAACUCAGACCACCGGGGAAUUCCUGCUUAGCUGUUCACCUUUUCUUUCUUCAGUUCCUUGCAAGAUACCUAUUUUAUUUCUGUUAUUUACUGUGUUUAAUGUUUUUCCCACCAGAGUUCUUGUUGUCUCUUCGCAUUCUGUAAAGCUCUAUGUCAAGCUAUGCGAAAAAAAAAUCAGCAAUAGCUGGAAACUGGAGGUGACAUCCUUGUGUUUCAGGUUUGCCCUGGACUGUUUUCUGGUGUUUGGGCUAGAUCUGAACCUCACACCAUACACUGCCAUGUGUCCAUGGUGAUGUUCUGUCUGGGAAGAUGAGCCCAGAAAUCUUCAGGGAGCUCAGGAAAAGAAAGAGAUGGAAAACAAGAAGAUGCUGGCAAGAGUUUAGCUACGUAGUUUGCUCUGAAAAUAAUGCCUCCUAUUUGUUUCCAUGGAAACUGCAGCAGAUGCAAAGAGCACAAUAACACUCUUUGAUAGAACAAAUUCUCAACUACAAAACACUAUUUUUCAACACAGACAUUGUCAUUAGCUAUGCAUUUUUGCCAGCAGUGAACAAGAGUCUGCAUGCUGCGUUCACAGCAGCAGUACAAGUCACAGGGAUGAAAAAAACUGUAGAAACAAUGAAGAGAUAAAAGGACACUUCAGAGCAACAGGGAACUGCAAAACUAGAAACUACUGCUGUAUACGUCCAGAGAUACAUACUGCAGCUGGGUUUGGUUUUGUGGGUGCUCUGGCAUUCAUGUGGGUAAUGGCGAUAAUCGUUGUGUGUGGUGAUGAGUUUUGUUGUUUGGUUUUUCUUCAGUGUAAAAUUAACAGUCAAAUUGCAUUGGUAGGGCAGCAAGCCUGGUGUGGCUUUUAUCUACCCAGAACCUGGGGACAAAGGAGGAGGGGAAAAUGGCUCAGCCAGUUCAGUAGCCAUGCCUGUAACAGUCCAGGAGUUCAAAGCAAAAUGCACAACAGUCAGAUGCACAAACCCACCUGGGCUUUGGCUGAUAAGUGGCAUCUCAAAGUGAAACACAAUCCUGAAGGGGUUCUGAAACUGAAUCUUUGAAAAGGGUUUUCAUGAGGAGUAAUGUGAACAGAAAUGGCUCUUUUCUGGUUUUGCACAUUCCAAACAUGCCAGGACUGUUUCUGUCAAGGAUGGGGUUUGGGUUUUUUUUUCCUUGUGCAAAAUAUUUGCCACAAACUGGCAUCUGAAAUAGUGUAAAAUAAAUGAGAGUUACAAAAUCAUUACGGUAUCAUCAGUGGAAACUAUGAGGCUUAUAGUUACGCUGGCUGCAGAGUUUCACCCUGUUGUCUACACUGCUGUGUUAUUGGGAUUGAAGCAGCACUUUUGCCUGUUAAUAUACUUCAAGAUGGAUGCUUUAAAAGCAGAGCUGUAACUGUUGGUUAUCCAAAACUUGGACAGAUGGGGUGCCACAGACUUUUUGUACGUACAAAAGGAAUUUCUUUUCAGCUAAGCCACUGUUCAGUGAAUCCACUUAGUGCCAGUGCAGGUAUGUGAACAUACAGCAUCUUUGCAUCAUGACAGCAGCCUUCAUUUCCACAGAUCUCCGAGUACAGAAAUGCUUCAGGUGUUCUGGUUUCAGACAGGCUGCAUCAGUUUGGCUUGCACCUGUACACUUAGAUACAAACAGGAUUUAAAUGGAUUUAAUGAGUUCCCACAAGCAGAACGACUGUGCCGUAAACCUUGAAUGAUAAAAUCAUAGAAUCACAGAAUUAUUCGAGUUCAAAGAGACCCUCAAAUCCUUCCAGCUUCAACCAGCUGCUGUGGGCAGGGUUGCCACCCACCACCAGAUUAGGCCCCAUCACCAGGGCCCCAUCUAACCUGGCCUUGAAUGCUUCCAAGGAUGGGGCAUCCACAGCUUCACUGAGGAGUCUGCCUUAACUGAAGCCUCACAUGUGGUGAAACACUAGAUAUUUUAUGUAGACCUGGACUGUUAAAUGAUUGUCUCACUCAUAAGUCAUCAUGUCAUGCUUUUUUAGCUCUGUGUGAUGCCAUACUCCUAUGUGCCACGUGGGUAGCAGUAGCCUGUGGGUGGCUGAGAAGGCCACAGCCAGAGGUGCUCUUGCACUUGUGCAGCAAUCACCUCACUAACUGAACUGAACAAGGAGUAUGGCUAUAAGCAUGUGGUGUGGAUCUCAGCCCCCUGGAGACACCCUGCAUAAGCCCUGGGCACUGUUAUCAAUGGCACCACACCGACCACCCCAAGCUUUUGCUUUUCAGCCCAUGUUUGACCACAGCACAAGUGCAGGUAGACGGUAAGAUGCAAAAGGUGAGAAAGUAUCUCUUUGAAAGUGGAAUGAAAGAGACACUGUUGGAAUGAACCUUCUGGCUUGAUUUUAUUAAACAUGAAUAUGGUUAUUUAGUGAUGAAUGGCUACUUGCAGGAGCAGGAGUUGAGGUGUGGUGCCUGAAAUCCUUUCCCACUCUCAAACACAUACUGGAGUUCCAGGGGUGGGAGUCAUCUUGAAGGUCAGUGAGUGCAGGAACUUUUAUCACUAGGACUGUCAUCAAAUGCUGCACUUGCAAGGCACAAUGAAGGAAGAGCUUGUAUUAAGUUGAUAUUCAACCUAAUUCUUUUCACUUGAGAGGGGUCUGGCUUUGCAGCCUUCUUCUUGCCAUUUUGGAUUUGUUUCCUUAAAAAAAUGGAAAAGUCCUCACUACUCCAUCAGUGCUUCCAACCACAAAAAAAAUGGAAACAAAAGGUUGGAAGGUGCAGUUAACAGCAAGCUGUGUUUUUACUGAGCCUGUCUUAGGUAAAUGGUUCUGAAGUGGAUUUUGCUCCAGCUCUUCAAGGUCUCUGCUUUGGAAAUAUUUGUUGUUGUGAAACUGUAGCAAGCUUUACAAGUGGUAGAAAAAAAAAUUGCUUUUAUAACCAAAUAAAUGUGUUUUCCUAGCAAGUCAUACAGACAGAUAAAUGUAUGUUUGGAAAAUUUUUGUUUCUAACCAAAAUAACUUCUGCACUGUGUUAUCUCAAGUGGGAAAACAAGUGGACCUUGAAUUGCAUUUUAAAGUUGAUUUCACCCAUUUAACAGCUACAAAAGAUUAUUUUGAGAUGCUCUGUUUUCUUUCUCUUGGCAUGUCCUUAUUCAGUAUUUUGUGCUUCAGAAUCCCUAUUUUACUUCAUUAUGAUGAUUUGAGAGUUUUGAUUGAAAGGGCAAAAACACAUGAAAAGUUAUGUGUCCUCAAGAAGGCUACGGCAAGUUAUGCAGUGCUGAAGAACUGCUGACAACCUGUAGAAGAGCCAGUUUUUGACAGCACAGGAAGUGGUCAGCACCUCAUUUGACAUCCUCACAUCAAAGCUGGACAGUAGGCCGGUCGAGAUGUUCCGUUAGAACCACAAAUUAUUGGGCUUCAGGCAGAAAUCACUGGAUGAAAUUCUGUGGUCUUUAUGAGGCAGGAGGUCAGACAAAAUCAUUUUACUGGUUUCCCUCAGCCUUUAGUAUUUAUGAAUCAUACAGUCAGGGUUUGGGGUUUUUUGAGUUUCCAUGAAAAAAUUUGCAUUGGUAAUAUGCAGACAACAAAACUGACCUGUUCUGUCAUCUUUUCAUCUUAUUUUGCUUUUGAAUUGUCCUGUAAGAAAGAUGAACUUGGACUUGUUACUCACAUUUCAGUAUGGGUGGCAAAAAGUAAAUCCACCUUGAUUAUUAUAGACAUCCCACAACUGCAGGAAUGAGUGAUGCCCAGUGACAGCCCUGAUUUAUCAAACAUCUGAGCACCAACUCAUCACUGUAGAACAGCUAACAAUGGUCUCAUCUGUGUUCCCAGUGGGAGUUGUGCACUGUGUGAUCCUGAAGCAAGGCAAAGACAGAUUGAAAAGCACCAUGCUAAUGACCACAUACUUUGUUUGCAUGCUACCAAAGCUGGGGCUACAGAAGCCAGCAGGAAAGUAAGAGGCAGCUUAGUUGCCUGUGUAGGAGUCCCUGAAUUCCAGUCCUGUACCCUACCUUGUUGCAACAGAGAAACUGGGGAAAGCCCAAAGCAGUGCUCUAGUUGGAGAAAAGAAAAAAUAAUGUGGCAGAAACGAGUUUUGAAGCAAAGGCAUGGGGUGUAUGAUGAGUCGGUUUGACACUCCUGAGGCUGCUUUCUUCACCUCCAGAGUCCUCUUCCAACCUUAACUAUUCCAUGAUUCUGUCACUUUGCCAAAUGUCACAGGACAGCCUGUAUCCACAUAGCAUCAACUUUCCAUCUUUCCAUACUCGGUGCCCACAGUCAGCUGAUCGUUGGGAAUGGUCUGUCUUGACUGUUGCUCUGUAUUCAGGAUGGUGCUAAUUGUCAUGAGCCAAGAGCAUGUGAAGGAGCAGUGUAACAGCAGUAAGAAUUUAAUCAGCAGUGACUGGGAAUAUUCCUUUGAACUGUUUACUACUAAUGAUAUAAUGAACCCUCUAAGGGCUGUCUCUGAUAAAUAGCACUAUGCAAACCAACAAAUAACAAAACACAAAAUCAUGCACUUGUGGUAUUUAAAUAUAUUGUGGUGUGGUUGGAAAUGAAUUCAGGUUCAGUCUCAAGCCUAAGUGGGGCUAUCUUCACAACACAGUGUCAGAGAAGUUUAAUAGGUCUUCAUGCAUAGUAACAGAAUCCAAGCUCUUGAUGGAGCAAUGAGACAGAAAGGAUUUCCCUAAUUCUGAAGGGUAAGUAUAUUCAGGGAAGGGAUGCUGCCUUUUGAAGACAGAGUUGCAGGUGUCUGCACUUGAAGAGAGAUGGGAAAAUGCCAAGAAGUAUUUCAAGGAGAGCCAUGAAGUGACUUGAGAUUGCAAAACCAAAACUCCUUGAUGUGAGGCUUAAGGAGCUCGGUUAUUUAUUUGGCUAUUUGGGAAGAAGGCUGGGAAAGGGUGACUUGACUCCCAGAUCUGAUGGAAGAAACUUUGGUCAGUGGCUUGAUGUGCAGAAGGAACCCUUGGAAGCCUUAUGGCUUUCCGGAUUUUGGAGAAAAUCCCAUUGUCUGCCUUGGGUCAUCUAUGUGCUUUGCAGCUUUACUCUAAAAUAUUGAGCUUAUUAUGUAGAGAUGUUGGGUGAAGGGGAGUGAUCUGCAAGAUACUGAAUGCAGGGUAGAUAAUGUCUGUCAUUCUGUCUUUACAUUCAGAGUCCUGACAAUGCUCAGCACCUUCCUCCAUCCAUCCCAGAUAUAGGGAGAUCCUCCAGUACAUGGCACAGUUUAAACUAUUGGAUCAAAAGCCAUUGAGCCAUCUUGAUUUAAGGCAAUUGUCUAAAACAGGAUAACAGUGCUCUUAGAAAACAACAAACAUGGAGUAUAUUCAAGCUCCCUGAAAAUCCUGUCAUUACGGAGAACAUAUGAAAAUGGUGGCCUCUCUGAAAGAAGAUUUUUAUCCUUCAAUUUCAUUCUUAGUUUUGAAUAAAUAUAUUUCACAUAACUUAAAAAGCUGUGAUUUUUCCCCCUUGCUUGCUGCAGUGUUCUGUUCUCAAAAUGUUUAUUCACACAUGCAGAUUUUCAUAACAGCGAAUAUUUUUUUAUAAACUAGUGGAUGGUAAAUCAAAGGAGAAGAUGAGCGGAAGCCAAAAGCUGAGUUUUGAUUAUUGCUGAUUUUGUUCUAGUUUCCUUUUUAUUUAAGCAAGAUGGCAUGGGUUUCACUUUGACCCACUUUCAAAUCUAAUUAGUGAAUGAACAGAGAAUGGAGAAGAAUGAAGAGAGAAGCUGUGCUCAUUUGAACUUCAAAAAUGCAGCAGGUCAAGACAGGAGAGGCUAGUAGCAAUCCUGCUCUGAUGGUACGCUCAGAGUUGAGCGUCUUACAGCUUGUCUUAUCUUACCAUUUUUUUGUUACUAGUAGCAAAUUUCAAAUGAGAGGAAGGAGACGAUGACAAAGGCACCACUAGCACAGCUCUCACAUUUUUCCUUGACUCUCCUUCAGGUGACAGCAGUGUGCAUCUCUACAGUUGUCAUGGUUGCAUCUGGUGCUUUGUUUUUAUGUAGGGCACAUCCAUGCAGAUAUGUGGGGAUAGACAGAUGGGUGCUUGUUGUGGUCCCUGAGCUCUGGGGCCUUCUAUUAGUGCCAAGGCUCAACUAAAAAGCUUUGCUCAGAGGAAGGGUAUAUUAACUUCAGUUAGCAGUGUCAUAGCACAGUUGCAAAACUCCCAGGGAAGAACAAGGUUACCAACAGCUUUCUUGGCUCUGGGAAGAUGAACGUCUGGCUGUCUGUGAUUAAUCCAAGAUUUUGCUAAGCCAUUCUCCACAGCAACUCUGUCUUUCUACUGGCAGGGAAGAAGCUUCAGACAGAUUUGGAAAAUUCACCCCCAUAGCUGCUUCCUGAAGAAGCAGCAGGAGAACCAUGUUUUAUUUACCUAAAGAAAUCAGUGCUACUCCAUUGACUGAUGGAUUUGGAUUGCUUUUUGCCAGCCAAGAAGCUGACCUGCUGAGUGUGUCAGAGGCAGCUGGUCACUGGCUGCCUGAUGCAUCCAGCUAGACCUUGCUUUCAACUGUUUAGAGCUUGGGAAAAGUUAAUUGUUUCAAACUCAUUUUUCCACACCAGAAAAUGAUCAUUAUGAGAACAGUUCACUUUCCUAUGACUUUGGCAUUUCUAGUUUCAUUCUUCAUUGUACAGUGUCAGCACCAGCUCCUUUCCUUCCUCUCAUGUGUCCUUCCUUUUUUUCUUGUCCUCUCAGGAACAAGGAAGGGCUAAGCUGGUGUUGCAGCUCCUGAGAUCUUCCUCACAGGCACCCAUGGCCGGUGUCUGGAACAGUCUCAAUGCUAG